GGCCUAACACAUGCANNGUCGAGGGGCAUCAGGGGAGUAGCAAUACUUUUGCUGGCGACCGGCGCACGGGUGAGUAACGCGUAUGCAACCUGCCUGCAACAGGGGGAUAGCCCGGGGAAAUCCGGAUUAAUACCGCAUAAAACAAGUUCUCCGCAUGGGGUUUUUUGUUAAAGAUUAAUUGGUUGCAGAUGGGCAUGCGUUCCAUUAGGUAGUUGGUAAGGCAACGGCUUACCAAGCCCACGAUGGAUAGGGGAACUGAGAGGUUUAUCCCCCACACUGGUACUGAGACACGGACCAGACUCCUACGGGAGGCAGCAGUGAGGAAUAUUGGUCAAUGGGCGAGAGCCUGAACCAGCCAAGUCGCGUGAAGGAUGACGGUCUUAUGGAUUGUAAACUUCUUUUGUACUGGGGUAAAACACAAUACGUGUUAUUGUCUUGCAAGUACAGUACGAAUAAGCAUCGGCUAACUCCGUGCCAGCAGCCGCGGUAAUACGGAGGAUGCGAGCGUUAUCCGGAUUUAUUGGGUUUAAAGGGUGCGUAGGCUGUUCAUUAAGUCAGCGGUGAAAGUUUGGGGCUCAACCUUAAAAUUGCCGUUGAAACUGAUGGACUUGAGAAUAGAUGAAGUGGGCGGAAUUUGUGGUGUAGCGGUGACAUGCAUAGAUAUCACGAGGAACUCCGAUUGCGCAGGCAGCUCACUAAGCUAUGACUGACGCUGAAGCACGAAAGCGUGGGUAUCAAACAGGAUUAGAUACCCUGGUAGUCCACGCAGUAAACGAUGAUUACUGGCUGUUUGCGAUAUUACGGCAAGUGGCUGAGCGAAAGCGUUAAGUAAUCCACCUGGGGAGUACGCCGGCAACGGUGAAACUCAAAGGAAUUGACGGGGGCCCGCACAAGCGGAGGAACAUGUGGUUUAAUUCGAUGAUACGCGAGGAACCUUACCCGGGCUUGAAAUGUACACGAAUGAAUCGGAAACGCUUCAGCCAGCAAUGGUGUGUAUGUAGGUGCUGCAUGGUUGUCGUCAGCUCGUGCCGUGAGGUGUCGGCUUAAGUGCCAUAACGAGCGCAACCCACAUUGUCAGUUACUAACAGGUUAUGCUGAGGACUCUGGCAAGACUGCCGGCGUAAGCUGCGAGGAAGGUGUGGAUGACGUCAAAUCAGCACGGCCCUUACGUCCGGGGCGACACACGUGUUACAAUGGGUGGAACAAAGGGCAGCUACCUGGCGACAGGAUGCUAAUCUCCAAACCCACUCUCAGUUCGGAUCGGAGUCUGCAACUCGACUCCGUGAAGCUGGAUUCGCUAGUAAUCGCGCAUCAGCCAUGGCGCGGUGAAUACGUUCCCGGGCCUUGUACACACCGCCCGUCAAGCCAUGAAAGCCGGGGGUACCUGAAGUACGUAACCGUAGAGGAUCGUCCUAGGGAAAAAC
rnacentral:rRNA from 1 species